rnacentral:lncRNA from 1 species
AGUCCUGAUGGUGAAAUAAAUUGUUGCUUCAGAGCUGAAAGUGAAAUUCACAUUCAAAGAUGGAGAGUGAUUAAGUAAGCUUUGCAGGCUUAUUAUUUUGUAAGACAAAGUCGUUAUGUGUAAUUUCAGCCAAAUAAAGGAUAAAUCCCAACUUGAUCGCUUUUAUUACUACUUUCAUGGAAAGGAGCUUGUAGCGUAUCUUAAAAACCUGCCAGUAGCUGUUGUGUACUCAGAUUUCUGGCCUACUCAGAAGUCUUUGGUCUCGUGCCCUACCUUAGAAUUGUUAUUAGUGUCAGCGUAGCACAAAGCUGUGACUGUUCUCAUCCUAGAUGUUUGGGAUAAGCAUAGAUCACUCUGAAAGAAAUGCAUCCCUUUUACAUCCAUGGAAAUUACAAAAGAUACAGAGAGUGAUAGCCUUAAAAAUGUAACCAGAGAAAAUGAAAAGCUUGAAAAGCAGUCAUGUAAGCUAGUUUUUCUUUCCUGAUUAUCAAUAUUUAUCUACGAAAAGGUGGCUAUGACAAACAUGUAUUUUCUGUAGGAUAAGUAUGGAGAAAACAACUUGGCACAGAAUAACCAGAGAGGUACACAGCCAAGAAAUUCCAAUCAAAGGAGGUUCAAAAAGUAAUUUAAAAGAAGAGGAUAAAUAUAUUAUCUCACUGUUCAAAUAGUAGGCAUUAAAUAGUCAGAAAGACAGAAGAGACAUCUGUUUGAAGGUGUUUGAAUGAUGAAUCAAUCUGCAGGUCAAAGACAGACAAGUUACCCUGAGAGCACAGGGAUAAAUUACUCCAAGAAGACAAUGACGUGGUAAGAACUUCAAUUUUUAAUGCCACUUAUAGGCAUUAAAUGGAUAAGAAAAUGACAUGUAUAUGUUGCUAGCAUUUACUCUGGUGUAUUAUCGAGGAAUUUUUGUCAUACUUUGUUUUAUUUAGAAAGUAAAGUCCACUGCCAUCCAGCCUGGAUAAAUGAAUAGCCUAAUGCCUGUGGGGUAUGUUGUUUUGAUAAUGACACUGCAGCAUGUCAUGGGCUUAUCAGUGUCAGCACUGGAAAGUUGUCUUGAUGGCAAGGUGCUUCAAAGCAAAGGUCAAUUUUCAUUGUACGUGACAAUAAAACAAAACUGGUCAUUACUCUGUGUCUCAAAUGGCAUGAACAAAUUUCAUUUCCAACAGUGAGGUAAGUAAAUCUCAGAGAAUAUAACACUUUUUUAGGAGUUUAGCAAGUGCAAUAUCUCUCAGAAUGAAGAAUACUGGAGCCAAGAGCUAAUAACCUUUGAUAACUUCAAUAACACAAACAAAACUGUGCACGAUUUGUUGAGAAGACAGAUAGCACAAGGAAG